rnacentral:ncRNA from 2 species
AUGAUUUUUCCUGCGAGAGAGUUCACGCUACGAACCGCCGAAGAUGCAAACCUUACUGACAAGGUGAAACUUUCAGGCAAAAGGAUCAGGGAAAGGACC